CGUUUUGCCAUUCCAACUUUUCGUACUAUAUUCUGUCAGUGCUUAGCACAAGUUUAUUUUAAUUCUGGAUAAAAACAAAAAAAUGCAGCUUUUUUUGAGCAAAAGAUUUGUUUGUGUUCUGUUGCUCAUAAAGAUACAGCAUGCAACCUCAAAAAGCAUUUACAGCACUCUUUACAGCUGAUUUCCUAAAGACUGAAUUAAUCAAUACCUGAUGCCGCUUCACAGAUCCAUCACAUUAGUGUAAAGUGCACAUUAGUGCAACUUCUGUGUGUGGGUGAAGUUUUAACUUAAAAGAUGUGAACUACUUUCAGCUUCCUGUGAGCUGUUAGUAAUUGUCAGGGCUCCUCUCAGAAAAGAGACCCAGGCUCAGGACUGCCUCGGAGCAGCCCACUCCUAGAAUCACCUCAGCUGGAAGCCGAAAGCUCCAGUUUGGCAGGAGGAAGGUUUCAAUCCUUCCCUGCUUGGAUUAUGAUAAACAUUAAAUGAUGCAUGGAUGGGAAAGGGAAUAAUCCCCCUCCUCCUCCUCCAAAGGGGGCCAUACCGAGAGCCUGUGGUCCCCCGGGAGGGGAAACUCAAGGUGCGGGUUCAGGACUAGGGUGAAGCAUCUGCCAGGUUAGAGAUGACUCGAGCAGGGAGAAAGGAACCAUAAGUGCUAACCGAAGUUCCUGGCAGAGAUGAGCAUUGGCCUUUUUUUCUUCCUUUCAUUUCCGUUCAUGUAUUGCUAGUUUUGCAGCUGCUGUUACCGAUUUUUGAUUGUGCAGAUAAGUAGUUUUAUUUGUGUUUAACUUACUCUGAUUUGUGUCGAGAAUAACUUCAGCGUUGACUGAACCCUAAAGUAUUCCAUUCCUCCAGAAUGGCAAUCCUAAAAAAAACAGUGUCCUGGACAUCUCUCCCCUGCAUCUUCUCUGUGCCGCAUAUAAUAAGGUAAACUCAGACCGGCCUGAAGAAACUUGUCACAGAAGAGGCAAAGGCUGUAAGAUCAGCUGCAACCCUGGAAGACAGCAGAAAAUGUACGUAUCUGGAAGCGAAUCUACAGGAAGAAGGAAUAUAUUAUUGCCUGACAGCAGAAGAAUCUUCAGCAAGUGUCUGCCCUUCUUGUACACCAAAACUAUAAGAAUGAUUGCACUACAUCCAUUUAAUCUAUUACAGUGUCUCUGGCAAUGAUCAACAGCCUCAGGAAGAAUCCCAGACUGGGGCAAGCAGACACUGCCGCUUGCCCAGAAGUCUCGUUCUGGAUAUGUGUGGCUCAGGGUCACAGUUCCUGGUUUCAGUGCCACGAGAGAAAAGAUGCUGGCAACUUCGAGUGAGCCAGUACAAAUGAUUUUUUAUGAAAAGACAGAAAAGCAAAACUUUUCUCACAAGCUCUAUUAAAAUGUUUAGUUUCCCUAUAAUUA
rnacentral:lncRNA from 1 species